rnacentral:rRNA from 1 species
UACGUAGGGUGCAAGCGUUGUCCGGAAUUAUUGGGCGUAAAGAGCUCGUAGGCGGUCUGUCGCGUCGGCUGUGAAAACCCGGAGCUCAACUCCGGGCCUGCAGUCGAUACGGGCAAACUGGAGUGUUGCAGGGGAGACUGGAAUUCCUGGUGUAGCGGUGAAAUGCGCAGAUAUCAGGAGGAACACCCGUGGCGAAAGCGGCUCUCUGGGACGGUACUGACGCUGAGACGCGAAAGCGUGGGGAGCAAACAGG